AGAACGAACGCUGGCGGCAUGCCUAAUACAUGCAAGUCGAACGAACUCUUCGGAGUUAGUGGCGCACGGGUGCGUAACGCGUGGGAAUCUGCCCUUGGGUUCGGAAUAACAGUUGGAAACGACUGCUAAUACCGGAUGAUGACGAAAGUCCAAAGAUUUAUCGCCCAGGGAUGAGCCCGCGUAGAUUAGCUAGUUGGUGAGGUAAAGCUCACCAAGGCGACGAUCCUUAGCUGGUCUGAGAGGAUGAUCAGCCACGACGUGGGACUGGACGACGACCGGCCCAGACCUCCGAACGGGAGCAGC
rnacentral:rRNA from 1 species